rnacentral:rRNA from 1 species
GACGAACGCUGGCGGCGUGCUUAACACAUGCAAGUCGAACGGUAAGGCCCUUCGGGGUACACGAGUGGCGAACGGGUGAGUAACACGUGGGUGAUCUGCCCUGCACUUCGGGAUAAGCCUGGGAAACUGGGUCUAAUACCGGAUAGGACCACUGCCUGCAUGGGUGGUGGUGGAAAGCUUUUGCGGUGUGGGAUGGGCCCGCGGCCUAUCAGCUUGUUGGUGGGGUGAUGGCCUACCAAGGCGACGACGGGUAGCCGGCCUGAGAGGGGGACCGGCCACACUGGGACGGAGAUACGGCCCAGACUCCUACGGGAGGCAGCGGGGGGGAAUAUUGCACAAUGGGCGCAAGCCUGAUGCAGCGACGCCGCGUGAGGGAUGACGGCCUUCGGGUUGUAAACCUCUUUCAGCACCGACGAAGCGCAAGUGACGGUAGGUGCAGAAGAAGGACCGGCCAACUACGUGCCAGCAGCCGCGGUAA